rnacentral:rRNA from 2 species
UCUGUAGCAAGGUUAACCGAAUAGGGGAGCCGGAGGGAAACCGAGUCUUAAUUGGGCGUUAAGUUGCAGGGUAUAGACCCGAAACCCGGUGAUCUAGCCAUGGGCAGGUUGAAGGUUGGGUAACACUAACUGGAGGACCGAACCGACUAAUGUUGAAAAAUUAGCGGAUGACCUGUGGCUGGGGGUGAAAGGCCAAUCAAACCGGGAGAUAGCUGGUUCUCCCCGAAAGCUAUUUAGGUAGCGCCUCGUGAAUUCAUCUCCGGGGGUAGAGCACUGUUUCGGCUAGGGGGCCAUCCCGGCUUACCAACCCGAUGCAAACUGCGAAUACCGGAGAAUGUUAUCACGGGAGACACACGGCGGGUGCUAACGUCCGUCGUGAAGAGGGAAACAACCCAGACCGCCAGCUAAGGUCCCAAAGUCAUGGUUAAGUGGGAAACGAUGUGGGAAGGCCCAGACAGCCAGGAUGUUGGCUUAGAAGCAGCCAUCAUUUAAAGAAAGCGUAAUAGCUCACUGGUCGAGUCGGCCUGCGCGGAAGAUGUAACGGGGCUAAACCAU